GCCCUCCUGGCAUAGUGGCUUGAGCAUUGGACUACAACUAUGGAGACCAGGGUUCAAAUCCCAGCUUGGCCA
rnacentral:tRNA from 1 species